UACGUAGGAGGCGAGCGUUGUCCGGAUUUACUGGGCGUAAAGCGCGCGCAGGCGGCAUGGCAAGUAAGGUGUGAAAUCUCCCUGCCUAACGGGGAGGGUGCAUUUUAGACUGCCAAGCUAGAGUACGGCAGAGGGGGAUGGAAUUCCGCGUGUAGCAGUGAAAUGCGUAGAUAUGCGGAGGAACACCGAUGGCGAAGGCAAUCCCCUGGGCCUGUACUGACGCUCAUGCACGAAAGCGUGGGGAGCAAACAGG
rnacentral:rRNA from 1 species